rnacentral:rRNA from 1 species
GCGGAGGAAAAGAAACCAACAGGGAUUGCCUCAGUAACGGCGAGUGAAGCGGCAAGAGCUCAAAUUUGAAAGCUGGCCCCUUCGGGGUCCGCGUUGUAAUUUGCAGAGGAUGCUUCGGGUGCAGCCCCCGUCUAAGUGCCCUGGAACGGGCCGUCAUAGAGGGUGAGAAUCCCGUCUGGGACGGGGUGUCUGCGUCCGUGUGAAGCUCCUUCGACGAGUCGAGUUGUUUGGGAAUGCAGCUCUAAAUGGGUGGUAAAUUUCAUCUAAAGCUAAAUACUGGCCGGAGACCGAUAGCGCACAAGUAGAGUGAUCGAAAGAUGAAAAGCACUUUGAAAAGAGAGUUAAACAGCACGUGAAAUUGUUGAAAGGGAAGCGUUUGCGACCAGACUCGCCCGCGGGGUUCAGCCGGCAUUCGUGCCGGUGUACUUCCCCGUGGGCGGGCCAGCGUCGGUUUGGGCGGCCGGUCAAAGGCCCUCGGAAUGUAUCACCUCUCGGGGUGUCUUAUAGCCGAGGGUGCAAUGCGGCCUGCCUGGACCGAGGAACGCGCUUCGGCUCGGACGCUGGCGUAAUGGUCGUAAAUGACCCGUCUUG